AGCGAACGCUGGCGGCAGGCUUAACACAUGCAAGUCGAGCGGGCAUCUUCGGAUGUCAGCGGCAGACGGGUGAGUAACACGUGGGAACGUACCCUUCGGUUCGGAACAACUCUGGGAAACUGGAGCUAAUACCGGAUACGCCCUUAUGGGGAAAGGUUUACUGCCGAAGGAUCGGCCCGCGUCUGAUUAGCUAGUUGGUGGGGUAACGGCCUACCAAGGCGACGAUCAGUAGCUGGUCUGAGAGGAUGAUCAGCCACACUGGGACUGAGACACGGCCCAGACUCCUACGGGAGGCAGCAGUGGGGAAUAUUGGACAAUGGGCGCAAGCCUGAUCCAGCCAUGCCGCGUGAGCGAUGAAGGCCUUAGGGUUGUAAAGCUCUUUUGUCCGGGACGAUAAUGACGGUACCGGAAGAAUAAGCCCCGGCUAACUUCGUG
rnacentral:rRNA from 1 species